UACGUAGGGUGCAAGCGUUGUCCGGAAUUAUUGGGCGUAAAGAGCUACGUAGGCGGUUUGUCGCGUCUGGUGUGAAAAUCCAGGGCUUAACCCUGGACCUGCAUCGGGUACGGGCAGACUAGAGUGCGGUAGGGGAGAUCGGAAUUCCUGGUGUAGCGGUGAAAUGCGCAGAUAUCAGGAGGAACACCGGUGGCGAAGGCGGAUCUCUGGGCCGUAACUGACGCUGAGGAGCGAAAGCAUGGGGAGCGAACAGG
rnacentral:rRNA from 1 species